UGGCGAGUGACGCCGGGGUGAGGGUGGGGAGGGGCCUGGCCUGGCGAGUGACGCCGGGGUGAGGGGCCCGGCCUGGCGAGUGACGCCGGGGUGAGGGGCCGGCCAGGGAGUGACGCCGGGGUGAGGGUGGGGAGGGGCCUGGCCUGGCGAGUGACGCCGGGGUGAGGGGCCCGGCCUGGCGAGUGACGCCGGGGUGAGGGGCCGGCCAGGGAGUGACGCCGGGGUGAGGGUGGGGAGGGGCCUGGCCUGGCGAGUGACACCGGGGUGAGGGUGGGGAGGGGCCUGGCCUGGCGAUGACGCCGGGGUGAGGGUGGGGAGGGGCCCGGCCUGGCGAGUGACGCCGGGGUGAGGGUGGGGAGGGGCCCGGCCUGGCGAGUGACGCCGGGGUGAGGGGCCCGGCCUGGCGAGUGACGCCGGGGUGAGGGUGGAGAGGGGCUGGGGCCAGGGAGUGACGCCGGGGUGAAGGGCUGGCCUGGCGAGUGAUGCUGG